GUGUUUAGGUUUGUUAAUUUUGCCAGUUAUUCCCUUUGAUUAAAGAAUUAAUUGACCAAACCAGUUUGAUUAAAGAAGCAAGAGUAGAUAAUAACUAAAUCAUUAAAACCAUUAUCUUCAUCAUCUUGUUCAUUUUUCUUGUUGUCUAUUCAUCUUUUCCUUACAAUCUUUUUUUUCAGAAGCUUCUUGAUCAUUUUGUAUUGCUCUUCAUGUGAAUAUCAUGUUAUCAACUCCGCCUGCGUCAACAAUACAGAACUAUCAAAUGAUAAUAAUCACAUGUAUAAUAGUUUUGUAGGAGGAGAUGGAUUUGCUGCUAAUAAUAUUAUUAUUAGCAACAUUUCACAACACAUGAUCAUUGUGUUAAGCCAGAUGACCUGAUACAGAUACAAUUGAAAAUGAUUUGGAUUUGCGUUUCCUCCUAGCUUAUUUUGAUGGGUUUUCAAUAACGAUUCAUGAAAGUCACAAACUCCGAGAAGGUGUGACCCAAGUAUUUAAUAAAUCAAUUUCAGAAAGAUUCAAUGAAGAUGGAGAUGAAGAGAAAUCAAGGAAAGAGGAGCCAAAAAGAAGGAGCCAAGGAAAGGAACCAGUGAAAGGAGCUUCAAGUUGCAAGAGAAAGAAAGAGAUGUUGAAGGAGCUAGAAGAGGCAAUAAGUAAAAAUCAGUCAAGAUACAUGAAAAUAACAGGAAAAUACAUAAUAUUUUGUAAUGGAGCGAGAAAAGAGAGAGAGAGAAGAUGAAGAUGAAAUGAUCUUUCUCUCUCUUUCUACUUUUUCUUCUCUCGAAGUUUUAGCCCUAAGGCAUUUUCCCACCGAAAGCCGAAGUUUCGAUGAUAUCAUUAGCGUUUAUUUAACAUAUCUUUUCCUUUAAAAUCAAACCUCUUCAAGGUGGCUCUUUCUCCUUCUCUUUCUCUUCUUGCUAAUCAACUUAGCAAACUCAAAUUAUAUCAGGAAGAAGUAUUAACAUUAACUGUCUUGCAACCAUUAGUUAUACCCAAUUGAAGCAAUAAUCAACAACGAAAUGACCACUCUUCUAAAUCAACUGAUCAAACAAGUCUCGAAUCUCUAAUCAUAUUGUUUGCUUGAUUCCUGCUGAUUAACACUGAUUUGAGCCACAUUUUGUGACAUUUACCUGAUAAUUAUCUGCACUUAUAAUAUUACAUCUCGUACUGCACCCAAACUUGAUUUAAAGUGAACCAAGAAUGUCAGUAAAACAUCAGAGUAAUCAUUAAAUCACAGUAAUUUGUAAUUGAAGGGUGAACGUUAAACACAUUUGCAUUAACUUAUUACUUGCAAUAAACGUUUAGACUUGA